rnacentral:lncRNA from 12 species
CUCUAUCUCUAAAUAGGGUCACAUUGUGAGGUACCAGGAGUUACAACACCAACAUAUCCCCCUUUUUUGUUUUGGAGAAGAGACACAGCUCAACCCAUAACAGAAUUUAACCUCAGACUUUAUUGAGACUAAGAUAUAUUAAGCCUGUGGAGGGGCCCAGGACCCUGGAUGCUUAUGAAGCAUCUCACUUGGCAUUUGAUCCUGAUAUUCAGGUUUAGCUGAGAACUACCCACUGGUUAAGGAAUGAAAACAAGAGAAGUAACCACAGACAGUGCUUGACUUUAAAUACUAGAACAUGUAACAUUAAAAUUUUCUCCUAGCCAAGAGCUAUGCUGCAUUUCCUCUGUGCAUAAGACCCCAGGAAGAAAGGGGCCAUAUUGCUUGGGUCUCCUACCUGUGAGCUUCUAGUCUCAUCGACACAGUGGGUUGACAUCCCUUCCUACUCUGGAGCAGCGCUGAAUGUGGGCUUCUAUUGUAACUGGAAGAGCUCUGAUGGCUGCUGCUUAAGCAGGAAGAUCUGAAUUGGUUUAUCUUCCUUAGGUUCUUCAGAUCCAGCACUGUGGCAACUGGUUUCCACACUGCUCAUGCUCAUCUUUCAGUGAUAAGCUGCACUCCCUCUUAGAGCUUUUGUCCUCCCAUUUUGCCUGGGUGGCAGGUAUCCAUGCCCACCUGGAGAGCAACGAUGGCUUUCUGGUGCCUUCAGAGCUGCUGGCAGUACUCCUGUGUUAUGGAUCAGGUGGACCAACACCAGGAAGCAUGAACAUGCCUGCUGUUGGCCACCAGAAGCAAUGUUAGUAGACCAAAUCCAUGGCUAAUAUCCGUCUCAUGAUGUACCUUGUGCUUCUCUGUAAGAAGGCAUUUUUCUUGUGUGGAUUUUCCUAUUAGUUUGUCACAUGUGACCAGACAUUUCUGAAAUCAAUAGUGUAUGCAACAUAAAUUCAAAUGAGAACACAGAUGCACAUGUAUACACACAAGUCACACUUCAUAUGUAAGUGGUCCAAUAUUUUUGGAAAGCUGCAGGGAAAAAUCAAGGUUGUAUAAAAUAUAAGGUAGUAAAGACCACACUUUCCAAACAUGUAAUUAUAUUAAUUUUUUUAACUCUGAGAAGUCCUCUGGAAUAGGACACA